rnacentral:rRNA from 1 species
UGCAAGUCGAGCGGAAACGAUGGGAGCUUGCUCCCAGGCGUAGAGCGGCGGACGGGGGAGUAACGCGUAGGAAUCUACCUAGUAGUGGGGGGCAACUUGUGGAAACGCAAGCUAAUACCGCAUACGCCCUACGGGGGAAAGCGGGGGGUCUUCGGUUCGGCCACCUUAUGAGGAGUCCGCGUUGGAUUAGCUAGUUGGUGGGGUAAAGGCCUACCAAGGCGACGAUCUAUAGCUGGUCUGAGAGGAUGAUCAGCCACACUGGGACUGAGACACGGCCCAGACUCCUACGGGAGGCAGCAGUGGGGAAUAUUGCGCAAUGGACGAAAGCCUGACGCAGCAAUGCCGCGUGGGUGAAGAAGGCCUUCGGGUUGUAAAGCCCUUUCAGUAGGGAAGAUAGUGACAAAGUUAAUAGCCUGUAGCUGUGACAUUACCUGCCGAAUAAGCACCGGCUAACUCCGUGCCAGCAGCCGCGGUAAUACGGAGGGUGCAAGCGUUAAUCGGAAUUACUGGGCGUAAAGCGCGCGUAGGCGGUUAUUUAAGUCAGAUGUGAAAGCCCCGGGCUCAACCUGGGAACUGCAUUUGAUACUGGCAAACUUGAGUAUGGUAGAGGGGGGGAGAAUUUCUAGUGUAGCGGUGAAAUGCGUAGAUAUUAGAAGGAAUACCAGUGGCGAAGGCGGCCCCCUGGACCAAUACUGACACUGAGGUACGAAAGCGUGGGUAGCGAACGGGAUUAGAUACCCCGGUAGUCCACGCCGUAAACGAUGUCAACUAGCCGUUGGGACCUUGAGGUCUCAGUGGUGCAGCUAACGCGUGAAGUUGACCGCCUGGGGAGUACGGCCGCAAGGCUAAAACUCAAAUGAAUUGACGGGGGCCCGCACAAGCGGUGGAGCAUGUGGUUUAAUUCGAUGCAACGCGAAGAACCUUACCUACCCUUGACAUUGACAGAAUCCAGCAGAGAUGCUUGGUGCCUUCGGGAACCGAGUGACAGGUGCUGCAUGGCUGUCGUCAGCUCGUGUCGUGAGAUGUUGGGUUAAGUCCCGUAACGAGCGCAACCCUUAUCCUUAGUUGCCAGCACAUUAUGGUGGGGACUCUAAGGAGACUGCCGGUGAUAAACCGGAGGAAGGUGAGGACGACGUCAAGUCAUCAUGGCCCUUAUAGGUAGGGCUACACACGUCUUACAAUGGGCAGUACAGAGGGAUGCAAGACCGCGAGGUGGAGCAAAUCCCAGAAAGCUGUUCUCAGUCCGGAUUGGAGUCUGCAACUCGACUCCAUGAAGUUGGAAUCGCUAGUAAUCGCGAAUCAGCAUGUCGCGGUGAAUACGUUCCCGGGCCUUGUACACACCGCCCGUCACACCAUGGGAGUGAGUUGUACCAGAAGCGGGUAUACUAACCUUCGGGAGGUCGAUCACCACGGUGU